GGCAGGAGUAAUGAGCGGGAUCAUGCACGCCCCUCUAACGGGUGUCUUCCUCAUUGCCGAAUUGACGGGAGGGUACGACCUCUUUCUGCCGCUA
rnacentral:tRNA from 1 species